rnacentral:rRNA from 1 species
UACGUAGGGGGCUAGCGUUGUCCGGAAUCAUUGGGCGUAAAGCGCGCGUAGGCGGCCCGGUAAGUCCGCUGUGAAAGUCAAAGGCUCAACCUGUGAAUGCCGCUGGAAACUGUCUGGCUAGAGUCCGGAAGGGGCGAGUGGAAUUCCUGGUGUAGCGGUGAAAUGCGCAGAUAUCGGGAGGAACACCGAUGGCGAAGGCAGGUCUCUGGGCCACUACUGACGCUGAGAAGCGAAAGCAUGGGGAGCGAACAGG